rnacentral:rRNA from 1 species
UACGAAGGGGGCUAGCGUUGCUCGGACUCACUGGGCGUAAAGCGCACGUAGGCGGAUUGUUAAGUCAGGGGUGAAAUCCUGGAGCUCAACUCCAGAACUGCCUUUGAUACUGGCGAUCUUGAGUCCGGGAGAGGUGAGUGGAACUGCGAGUGUAGAGGUGAAAUUCGUAGAUAUUCGCAAGAACACCAGUGGCGAAGGCGGCUCACUGGCCCGGUACUGACGCUGAGGUGCGAAAGCGUGGGGAGCAAACAGG